AUCCCAAAUAAGCGCUAUUAUGUUUAUUUGAUUCAUGGGAGGCGUAGACUAACAAUGGAAGUUCGCUGAUAACACCUUCUAUUCCAGAAGGUGUUUCAAUAGUACCUUACCAUACAUAU